rnacentral:piRNA from 1 species
UUUUCAGUUGGAAUUUGACAU